rnacentral:rRNA from 1 species
UACGUAGGGUGCAGGCGUUAAUCGGAAUUACUGGGCGUAAAGCGUGCGCAGGCGGUUUCUUAAGUCAGAUGUGAAAGCCCGGGGCUCACCCCCGGAAGUGCAUUGGAAACUGAUGGGCUGGAGUCCCGGAGAGGAGGGUGGAAUUCCUGGUGUAGCGGUGAAAUGCGUAGAUAUCAGGAGGAACACCGGUGGCGAAGGCGGUUCUCUGGGCCUUACCUGACGCUGAGGAGCGAAAGCGUGGGGAGCAAACAGG